GGGGCGCGCGCGGCAGCCGGCUUCCCUCCGGGAAUCGGGGACGCUGGGGCUGGAAGGGGCUUCUGAGGUCAUCGAGUCCAACCUACGACCGAACACACACCUUGUCACCUAGAACAUGGCAGUGAUGAGGCAGCACUGCAAAGUCAAAGGAGAAACACCCAUUGCAAGGACACAUCAUUACAUUCACACUGCGACAAGGUAACAUUGUUAAGCCAUUAGCUAUACACUCAUCAAUGCUGGAGUUCAAUUUUCAGACCAAAGUUACAAGAAAAAUCCUUACUUGUGCAGCUUCAGACUUGCAUUGGAUCUGUUCUGGGAAUCCCCUGCCAGUGAUCUCAUAUGUUGUUAUGUCUCUUCCUUGGGAUAUUGAAAGAUGUUCAGCACGCCUACAGAAGAAAGAGAUUUUGGAUUUCACCCACAAGUUCAACCCUUCAGUAAAGGCAGGCACUUUAAAGCUUUCUGCAGUUAUAACAAGGAGAGGCACUCCAAGACGAGACAUGGCUUUGGGUCUUUUCUUCAGACAGAAGAACUUGGGCUGGGGGAGGGGUCUGGCAGUGCCAUCGUACCUGCUGUCCCUCACCACUCCCUAAUGGGUCUCAGAUGCUACACCACCCACAUGCAGAUUUUUGAAAAGCAUCUUCAGCCUUUUGGGUUUUGGCAUGACAGGUAUCUGGUGAAAGAAAAAAGCUUCCUGGGAGUCAGGUGUAUUCUGAAGGAGCAGCCUCUCUUUGGCAGUGGUUUUACACACAGGAACUUAAACUGAGACAUCUGUACCCAUCACCAGGAUGUCAUGCUGAUCCGUGAAUAAGUUAGUCUCCUCCUGAGUUUCUUCAAAUGUGACUGACUUACUGGGCCUGUGAUUCAACAGAAAACAAGGACAAAAUACACCUGCUGACAUCUUAGAUGGCAAGGAGAGUCACACAUUACAAACUCAUAUUCCAGCAUAAACAAAGAGACUCUUUAGGUCGACUGCUCUGUCCUGGAUUACAAAAACCAUGUAUGGGACAAACAACCACAUGUCUACUGUCUUGAAUUUUUCCCAGCCUCCCUCACACAGUCUUUCAACACUGGGAAAUGAGGACCCUCCCCUAGGAGACAGCAGUGGGGGAGUGAAGACCUGCUGUGCUAGAAUUGCACGACCUGACAUGUGCCUGUACUUUCUGAUGACAGGAGUCAGGAUUGUCCCCAUCCUGUAACCACAGCUAUAUCCUCAUGGUGUUGCCUCCUCUACUUCUGAGGAUGAGGAAGAGCUCUUUCUUGGCAAGGCUGAACGUACCUGUGGGGUUGACUGGGGCUGGACAGAAGAGGAGCUGUCUGUACAUGUAUUGUCCUGUUAUAGUAUGUGACCUGGAACACUGGGCAGCACUUGUAGGGAAAGAAAUCUCAGCUAAAACCACGGUCAGUCCUGGUAAUCACCCUGAGGGAAACAUCUUCUGUCUUGCAAAGGCAUCACAUGACAGAAGACUGGACCCCUGCAAAACCAGAACUAAUUAUCCAUUCUUUUAUGUGUCUUUGCACAGAGCAUGCUCAACAUUACAACUCUGCCACUUGACUGUGUAGGUUUAUUUUGUGAAGUUCUGUCUCUGGGUAUUUUUGUGGCUUUUUCUCUGGGUUUGUUGCAGUGCAGGGGGCACUCUGCAUGCACUUCAGCUUACCAGAGCAAUAACUCUCUAGAAGUUGUAAAGAUAGGGUGGAGGAUGAAUGGAUAGUGAGUUGUAAGUAAUUCUCCACAUUAAUUGCUCUAUCUGAAUGCUUCAUCUGAGGCUUCACAACCUGUUUCCCUGCAGGAGGAGAUUCUCCAUGCUAAAGAGAGGCUAGAAGAACAGCAGAGCAUUCAGCAGCAUGCUCAGCAACUGCUUUCUAUUAUGCAAGAGUUUAAAGGAAUGUGAACAGUCUGCCGAAAUCCUCCUCAUGUGACCAAGAUCACAGCAACAACCCAGAGCCAAAGGAACAACUGAGCUCUUAUGUGCUAGUACAAAGACCCAGCUAGAAAAAUAUGGUGGAAGUCUAGUUGCACAUAUCAUGAAUAGGAUUUAAAUCUCAGCAGGUUGCUUGGAUGGCUGCUUUGCCACUAUGGAACACUGUUUUAAUUAAAUUUCCACAUCAUCAUAGUUAGUGCGUUUUUCCUUUUCAUUCAAUAUUUUUUGUCAGAUCCUUGAAAAAUUCGUCUCUUUGCCCUCUGUCAACUUAAAAAAAAUAAGGGAAAAAUGCUUGUCUGCUGUGUGAAAUCUGUGGCUGUUGGUUGUUACUUGUAUGUUAGUUCUUUGAUUUUCUGUUGCAGGGUUAGGAUAGGAAUGCGUCUCAUACAACAAAACAGGUGGGUAUUUAAGCUGAAUCAUCAUAAAAAUAAAAAUCAUAGCAAUUGCCUGCAAUACAGAGAUUUUGGAAAGGCUAAGGAAGUAAUUAUAGCAUCAUAUAGAAGGGUCCAGAUAUAAAUUAUGUUACAAUAUUUUGGUAACAAGUGAAUAAUUUCUGUUUCUUUUGUGGAGAAGAAGUGGUAUCCUGUUUGAGGGCCUCUUCGUUUUCCAUACUCAAACUGAUAAGGACAGGCAUUUCAGUUGUCUUUCUCUGCAUUAAGCUAUAUCUCCCUUUUAGAAGAAAAAAUGUUGCCUUAUACCAUCAGGUGUCAAGCCAACUUACUACUGUUUUAAAUCUGGCCUUGAAAAUAAAUGGUGUGUGGUGUACCCCUAUUAAUUAAAAAUGUAUUUUAGCAGACAGUUUCCAUUGUUUGUAAUGGGGAAGUUAUUUAUUAUGUUAUGUGUUUGUUAUCUGUCAUGAAGGGGGAAGUUCUGUUUAUGAAUUAAACAUUUUGAUUGUUCUUUAAAGUUUUUAAUAUGUGUAUUUUACGCUAGUAUUUAUUUGCACACUAUUAUAAGAUAGUAUAAUAUAAUAUAAUGUAAUAUUUUUAUACUUAACCAUGGUAGAUAUGCAAAAACAGAACAAAAUUCUUCUGUGUUGAGCAUAGUAGAGAUUUAAACUACACCUAAUAGUCUGAGGAUCACAAGGACUUAAGGGGACUCUUUCCAUACACCCUCCUCUAUGAAGCGCAUAAUUGCAACGUAACAGCUCGCCUUGGAGAAUUAAAAGCUUGUUUCUGAUACCCUUACCAUCUGGUCAGUACGAGUAAUGAGCAAAAAUGGUAAACAGUAUCCUUAAACGAGACAGAUAAAGUGCUUACAAAUUGUUAAGGUAAAAAGCACCAUUUUCAAGGAAAAUGUUCACAAAGUCUUUUACACUUCACAGUUUGUUGCAAAAUGACACUUUUCUCUAAGCCAGGGGAAAAACUCCAUUUCACUUGGUUGCAGAAAGGAGUUCCUGAACUUUUUAAGCAAUCAAUGUCAGCACAGGAUAGCAAGAGUUUCCUGGGCAAUGAUAGAACAAGUAAACUGGGAACAGGAAGAUCAAAUCUCCAAAAGUGUCUUUUUCUGCUGGCUGGCUGCCUUUGGAAUUCAGAUUCUAUCUGUCAUCUGACUGCGCUGUGUUCCACAAGGGAGAAACAAAACACAAAAGAGGAGAGGUCUACAGUUCAAAGAUACCAAGUAAUGGAUACUUAAAUUCAGAUUUAAAUGUUAUCUUGCUGCAGAAAAAGCAAAUUAUUUAGUUCCUUUUAGGAAAAGGGUUAUACCUUACUCUGAGACAGUGA